rnacentral:rRNA from 1 species
CAAAUUUAUUUAAUUGGUAAUUGCUAGUAAAAAUCUGAAAGCUUACAGUUUCCCUUUUUUAUAAAAGUAAUUAAAGUAUCUUAAAGUGCCUUCUAGUUACCUUUUGUAUUAUGAUCACACGAGAAAUCUAUUUGAAUCAAAAUUUCCCGAAACUAAGAGAUCUACUUUUUAACGUAGUUUAUUGUAGCACUAAUAAACUUAAUAAAUAGUAGUUAUGAAAAUUUAAUCGAUCUUAGUUAUACCUGGUUCUAAUCUUCAUAAUAUUAAAUAAUAGUCUUUAAUGGCUAAUACUUCACUUGGUUAAGCUAAGUGUUAUAGAGUUAAAUCAUUACUACAUACAGAAUAAGAUCUAAAAGUAGUCUUCAUUAAGUGUCAUUAUAGCUAUCUUUAAUAACUAUCUUAAUUUUAUUAUCCUACUCUUUCCAGAUUAGAUUUUAGUUAAAUUAUUUUUCUUCAUUUAUAAUGUGUGAAUUAUUAGCUUUAAUUUUAUUUUGUUUAUUUUGUUUACUAUGAAAUCAGAAUUCGGCUUUUCUUUCCAACUGUUUAUUAAAAACAUAGCUUUGUGAUUUAUUCAAAGUAUCUUCUGCCCACUGAUUAAAUUUGAAUGGCCGCAGUACUCUGACUGUGCUAAGGUAGCGUGAUUCUUGUUUUCUUAAUUAGAAAUCUGUUCAAAGAAUGAUAUGGAGAGAAUCUAUUGUUUUCAUAUUGAGUGAAUUUAAAAUGUUAGUGAAAAUUCUGACGUGUCCUUAAAAGACGAGAAGACCCCAUAAAACUUAAUUUGAUCUAAUAAUCCUUUGGUUUAAAAUUUAAAUGGGGACUUUAGAGUAUACUAAUAACUUAAAGACCUAUAUUUUUAUUCUUUGAGAAGCUACUUUGGGGAUAACAGGGUAAAAUAUUUGGAGAGUCCUUAUCGAUAAAUAUGAUUACUACCUCGAUGUUGGAUUAUCUUAUCAUAUACAUUGUAGCAGUGUAUAUAGUUAGUCUGUUCGACUAUUAAAAAGUUACAUGAUCUGAGUUUAAACCGUUGUGAGACAGGUUGGAUUUUAUCUUUAAUCUAAUUUUACAUGUAUUAGUACGAAAGGAAUUUACAUUAGUAAUUAUUACU